GGUAAGUAUCCUGGACGGCGUGGACGUGCUAUGCCGUCCGCUGGCGUUUAGAGCCGGUCCCCAAGGACGGCAUAGCACAGGGUAAACGAGUAUGUUUUCCUGGCACUAUAGUGGUCCUUUAAGUAUCUCCUUGCCUAUUUUCCUGUUUCCCAGAAGUCUCCUUGUUCCUGAUCCUGGCUCGUCUGAUUAUCCGCUUUGGUGCUGACCCCUCAUUGCCUCGUGGACUUUGCUUUUGGUUCUUACUUUAUUUUCUAUUUAUUAAUAAAGGUGUUUUUGCAUCUAGUUCUGUCUCUGUCUGGUUCCUGGACCCUAACAUUACGCAAGGGCCAUGAAUACAGAUGGUAGAGGCAAUACACCUAUACCUAACCUAUUUACUCAAUGGGACCAGCAGAACCACCGUUUAGACCAGUGUACACAUGCUCUCCAGACCCUCCUGAUUUGCAGUGCACAUCUGGAUCCAGCACCCGGCCAGCCUGCAAUUGCGGCCACCUCUGCCUCAUUUCCUGUUCUAACACCGGUUGUAGCCUCCAAACCUGUUGUAGCUAGAGGAAUGACUGGAUCUGUCCCGCUCCCUUAGUAUUUCAGAGGCAACCCAGCUCAG